UUAUAUCUAAUUAUGUCAAACAUGUUCGUAAUGAUCUGAUCCUCGCAUUGUAACAAUAAAUUUAAAUCGGAUAAGUGUUUGGUUAUAUCAACCAUAAAAGAUAAAUCUUGCAACCAAAUUUGAUCGGAGAACAAAUUUGUAUCUUGAUUUAUAGUUUGUAUAAACUUGCAUAUUUUUUCUUUCAAAUCCCAGAAUUGUUUGAUUAGUGUGAAACGGACUCCAUUUCAGCCAAUUAGAGUUUUACAUUUUCGCGCGUACAAUUUAAAAUGAUCCGUAUAGUUUAUUAAUAAGUAUAUUAUAAUUCUAUAUGCUGGAUUCGUUUCUAAUUCACAUUUCUAUUUUAUUUUUACUUUGCUUUGGAUAUAUUGACUGGGCCACAAAAAUGUUAAUCUUGGACCGCAUGCGGCCCGUGAGUUUGACACAUUUGAUCUAAACAUUAACAAAAAUAUUUUAAUGGAAAAGCUGAAUGUAUUGUGGUAAUUGUGAAGGUUGUCUCCUAAAGUUGAUGAGAUAAUUUUACACCUGUAAUUUCAAUUAAUUUUCUAUAUGAUUUACAGCAAGAAGAAUUAGCUUAUAAAACAAGAGAAGAACAAACUCAGCUUUGACAGCAAGUAUUAGCUGCUAAUGAUGCUGAAAAAGUUCCUUCUGAAUUUUUAGGUGGCAAAGCAUCACAACAGGUUUCUCGUCGUGUUGGUAGUAUGAGUUCAUUGUCUGGUGCUGAUGAUGCUGUUUACAUGGAAUAUAAACUUAGAAGAGAAGGCAGCAAACAUCCUCUUUUCAAAAGAUUCAGAAAAUGAUGUUAAAAUAUUUUUGUACAGAUUAAUUUUGUAAAUAAAAUGUUUUAUAUUUA